GCUAGUGUGGCAUAGUGGUCUGAGUGUUGGACUGACUCUGGAGACCAGGGUUCAAUUCCUGGCUUGGGCA